GUUAAAGGUACCCGUACCGCAAACCGACACAGGUGGGUGAGGAGAGUAUCCUAAGGCCAGCGAGAGAACUGUUGUUAAGGAACUCGGCAAAAUGACCCCGUAACUUAGGGAUAAGGGGUGCCACCAUCAGGUGGCCGCAGAGAAUAGGCACAAGCGACUGUUUACCAAAAACAUAGGUUUCUGCUAAGUCGCAAGACGAUGUAUAGGAGCUGACGCCUGCCCGGUGCUGGAAGGUUAAGGGGAUCUGUUAGAGCAAUCGAAGCAGUGAACUUAAGCCCCAGUAAACGGCGGCCGUAACUAUAACGGUCCUAAGGUAGCGAAAUUCCUUGUCGGGUAAGUUCCGACCCGCACGAAAGGCGUAACGAUUUGGGCACUGUCUCA
rnacentral:rRNA from 1 species